rnacentral:lncRNA from 1 species
CAUGGUGAAGCCCUAUCUCUACUAAAAAAUACAAAAAGUUAGCCGGGCAUGGUGGCAGGCGGCUGGAAUCCCCGCUACUCAGAAGGGUGAGGCAGGAGAAUCGCUUGAACCUGGGAGGCAGAGGUUGCAGUGAGCCAAGAUCACGCCAUUUCACUCCAGCCUGGGCGACAGAGUGAGACUCCGUCUCAAAAAAACAAAAACAAAGCAAAACAAAACAGAAUGGAUGACAGACAUAAGAGCUAAAACUAUAAAACUUUUAGAAGAAAAUAUAGCAGUAAAUUGUCAUGAUCUUGGGUUUGGAAAGACCUUGGGCAAAAGUCUUCUUAGGUAGGAUACUGCUGUGGUUUGGAUAUGGCCCCAAAAGCUCAUGUGCCGGGAGCUUGACCCCCAUGUGGAAGUGUUGGGAGGUGGGACCUUUAAGAGGUGUUUAGCUUAUGGAGGCUCUGCCCUCACGAAGAGAUGAACGCUGGUAUCGUGGGAGUGGGUUCCUCAUGGAAGGGGGGUCCAGCCCCUCCUGCUCUCCCACUCUGUCUUCUUUGUCCAGGGAUGACACAGAAGGAAGGAGCUCAUCAGACGCCAGCACCUUCAUCUGCAUUUCCCAGCCUCCAGAACUGUGAGAAAUAAAUUUCUGUUCAUUAUAAAUUACCCAGUCUCAGAUAUCCUAUUAAGGCAGCACAAAAUAGACUAAAACAGAUACCAGAAGCAUAAGUGACCAAAGAAAAAAAUUAGACAUCAUCAAAAUUUAAAACUUAUGUUUCAAAUGGCAUUAUCAAAAAGUGAAAAGACAUCACAUAUGGGAGGAAACGUUGGCAAAAUAUAUAUUGACAAGGAAAUUACCCAGAAUUCCAAACACAAUCAACCCCGAACUUCAGAAAACAUUCAAUCCUGAACUCCACAGUCAACCCAGAACUGCAGAAACAGUCAACCCCGAAUUCCAGAAACAAUCAACCCUGAACUCCAGAAAAAAUCAACCCAGAACUCCAGAAACAAUCAACCCAGAACUCCAGAAACAAUCAACCCAGAACUCCAGAAACAAUCAACCCCAAAUUCCAGAAACAAUCAACCCUGAACUCCAGAAACAGUCAACCCAGAACUCCAGAAACAAUCAACCACGAACUCCAGAAACAAUCAACCCCAAACUCUAGAAACAAUCAACCACGAACUCCAGAAAGUCAACCCCAAACUCCAGAAACAAUCAACCCUGAACUCCAGGAACAAUCAACCCAGAACUCCAGAAACAGUCAACCCCAAACUCCAGAAACAAUCAACCCUGAACUCCAGAAACAAUUAACCCAGAACACCAGAAAUAAUCAACCCUGAACUCCAGAAACAAUCAACCCUGAACCCCAGAAACAAUCAACCCAGAACUCCCGAAACACUCCACCCAGAACUCCAGAAACUAUCAACCCUGAACUCCAGAAACAAUCAACCCUGAACGCCAGAAACAAUCAACCCUAAACGCCAGAAACAAUCAACCCCGAACUCCAGAAACAAUCAACCCAGAACUCCAGAAAUGGGCCAGCCCAUGGAUGGAUGGUCAGCUGCUUUUGACAAAGACAAUUCAAUAGAGAAAGGAGAGUCUUUUCUUUUCUUUUCUUUCUUUUUUUUUUUUUUUGAGAUGGAGUCUCC